CCGGCCAUCGUCAAUGGCGACGUUUCAGUACGUCGAGAUACAUUUAGUACUGCGAUUGUAAAGAACGUGGUCGGUGGAAACGCAAUCCGUUAGUAAAAAACAUUCUGAAAUGCGGUAGACGAAAGUAUUAUAUUUAGCCAAGAAACGAGAUCCUGGCUCGACUCGCUGACGACUUGAUGUGCAAUGUCCAUAGUUCGAUUGUUACAACUGUAAUAUAAACAGCUACUUCAGGAAAAGUUCAAGGAAAUUUUCGCAAUUAAAUAGAGUAAGCCCUAGUUACAAAACAAAUAAGUUCGGAACAGGUAUAUCAGCGGAUAUGAAAGGGUGACGUCACAGGCUGUCGAAGAUAAGUUGUUUAGAAUGCUUGUACUUUGUAAGAUAUUAUAUAAAAGUAUUAAGCUAUAUAACUGUAUAACAAAAUUUAAUGGGUUGCUUGCUUUUGAAUUUUGGUGAUUUUAAAGUAAGGAAAUGUUGAGUUAGGACAACUUUGAUGAAUAUUAAUAAACAAUAAGUGAUGGAAACUCAAAGAUUUGAAAAGU